CCCUUAGAUGUUCUGGGCCGCACGCGCGCUACACUGAUGCAUUCAACGAGCCUAGCCUUGACCGAGAGGUCCGGGUAAUCUUUGAAACUGCAUCGUGAUGGGGCUAGAUUAUUGCAAUUAUUAAUCUUCAACGAGGAAUGCCUAGUAAGCGUGAUUCAUCAAAUCGCGUUGAUUGCGUCCCUGCCCUUUGUACACACCGCCCGUCGCUCCUACCGAUUGAGUGUGUUGGUGAGGAGUUCGGAUUGGCUCUUAGUGGUGGUUCGCCACCACCUAGAGCUGAGAAGUUCUCCAAACCGCCCCACUUAGAGGAAGGAGAAGUCGUAACA
rnacentral:rRNA from 1 species